UCAAGUUCGGAUUAUAUUUAAAACAGGCUUUCUCCCCGUCCCCCAGCGGGUCAUUCCCGCCGCCGCAGGCAGGGCGCCCGCUCCCGGCUCGUCAGCACCCGCCUGCGCGGAGGAGGCCCUGUGUGCUCCAUUUGCUUUCGUUUUCCUUCUCCCCCUGAAAUGGGCUCAGUUCACCUCUCCGCUGCCCUCUCCUCCUCCCCGCCCCCUCCUCGGUUCCCCACUCCUUUCCCCCCUUUUCUCUCCUGAUCCCUCUUUGUUGGGAAAAACACACCCACACACACAACUCCUCCUAGCUCAGGCCUGCGCUGGAAGCAGAAACUGAAUUCUCCUGGCCCGCCGCGAGGAGACCAGCGUCUUGCCCCCACCCCAGCCUUUGGCUGGACAGCCUAGGGUUUAGGACGUCUCAGAUGGACAGACAGACAGACAGGCAAACCGCAUCUCCGGAGGCAGACAGACUCACAACAUGAGUGGCGUCCGGCAGAGACCCAGAAGACUCGGUCCCUCUGGCUUGGUCCAGUCCCGCCUCGGGAAGCGCCUUCGUUACCUGCUCCUCGGCUCCCCACGGCCACAGAUGCAGGGCAGCCGCCUCCGCCGGGGGAGGGAAGCCCCGGCCACCGCAGCCGCCGCUGCCCGCCCUCCUUCCCUCCCUCCCUCUUCCUCGCCCUCCCUCCCUCUCUCCCUCCCUCGCGCGCCGCCGCUCGCGGGGCCCUCCCGCGGGCAACCUGUUCUGGACCAAAUCCAGGUAUCUCCGAAAGAGACAAAAAAGAAAAGACCUCUGAUGUAGAAAAGAAAGAAAGACCCUGAACUGCAUUUAUUUUUCACGCUCUGACCAUUGGUCGGCCUCAGUUCAGGCGUCCUGGGCCCGGCCCUGCGGCUGCAGAGGUGUGCAGGCCUGCUGCCUCGCCCACGCCGGCCGCCGAGCCCCGCGCGCUGCGCGCUCCACACUCUGGGCCGCCGCCCCCCGGCAGCCCAAACACCAAGCAGACCUCAAGGUCCUUCCUACAGACUCAACAUCCGGUUGGCCGCCUCGCCGCUGGCCUCUCCGCCGGGGAGCCGGCUCCGCUCCAUCUGCGGCCAAA